AGAAGCACUAUUUGUUCUUUGAAAUACGGAAACCUAGGACCUCCUUAAUUUCCCACCAGGAAAAUCAGCUGUUGGUUUUAAGUGGAUACAAAGUCAAGUCAAGGUCCAAGGGAUCUAAUCUAUUGAAUGAUACAAAGCCCAUUUUAAUGUUAAAUUUUUUCUCAGGAAUAUAGGAUAGAUUAUGAAGAGACCUGGCUCCUGCAGCUCAUAUGACUAUUUUUUAAGCUCUUAUUUAGCUCUUAUUUCAGUAACUUUAGUACAAAACUAUCCUUUGCUCUAGAU
rnacentral:lncRNA from 1 species